GCGCCCGUAGCUCAAGUGGAUAGAGCGUUGGCCUCCGGAGCCAAAGGCAAAGGGUUCGAAUCCCUUCGGGCGCA
rnacentral:tRNA from 1 species